rnacentral:rRNA from 1 species
UGCAGUCGACGAUGAACCGCUUUCGGGCGGGGAUUAGUGGCGAACGGGUGAGUAACACGUGGGCAAUCUGCCCUGCACUCUGGGACAAGCCCUGGAAACGGGGUCUAAUACCGGAUAUGACUGUCCAUCGCAUGGUGGAUGGUGUAAAGCUCCGGCGGUGCAGGAUGAGCCCGCGGCCUAUCAGCUUGUUGGUGAGGUAGUGGCUCACCAAGGCGACGACGGGUAGCCGGCCUGAGAGGGCGACCGGCCACACUGGGACUGAGACACGGCCCAGACUCCUACGGGAGGCAGCAGUGGGGAAUAUUGCACAAUGGGCGAAAGCCUGAUGCAGCGACGCCGCGUGAGGGAUGACGGCCUUCGGGUUGUAAACCUCUUUCAGCAGGGAAGAAGCGAAAGUGACGGUACCUGCAGAAGAAGCGCCGGCUAACUACGUGCCAGCAGCCGCGGUAAUACGUAGGGCGCAAGCGUUGUCCGGAAUUAUUGGGCGUAAAGAGCUCGUAGGCGGCUUGUCACGUCGGUUGUGAAAGCCCGGGGCUUAACCCCGGGUCUGCAGUCGAUACGGGCAGGCUAGAGUUCGGUAGGGGAGAUCGGAAUUCCUGGUGUAGCGGUGAAAUGCGCAGAUAUCAGGAGGAACACCGGUGGCGAAGGCGGAUCUCUGGGGCGAUACUGACGCUGAGGAGCGAAAGCGUGGGGAGCGAACAGGAUUAGAUACCCUGGUAGUCCACGCCGUAAACGGUGGGCACUAAGUGUGGGCAACAUUCCACGUUGUCCGUGCCGCAGCUAACGCAUUAAG